rnacentral:rRNA from 1 species
GGCAUGCUGCGGCUACACAUGCAGUCGAGCGGCAGCACAGAGAAACUUGUUUCUCGGGUGGCGAGCGGCGGACGGGUGAGUAAUGCCUGGGAAAUUGCCCUGAUGUGGGGGAUAACCAUUGGAAACGAUGGCUAAUACCGCAUGAUGCCUACGGGCCAAAGAGGGGGACCUUCGGGCCUCUCGCGUCAGGAUAUGCCCAGGUGGGAUUAGCUAGUUGGUGAGGUAAGGGCUCACCAAGGCGACGAUCCCUAGCUGGUCUGAGAGGAUGAUCAGCCACACUGGAACUGAGACACGGUCCAGACUCCUACGGGAGGCAGCAGUGGGGAAUAUUGCACAAUGGGCGCAAGCCUGAUGCAGCCAUGCCGCGUGUGUGAAAAGGCCUUCGGGUUGUAAAGCACUUUCAUUAUGGAGGAAGGUGGUAGUCGUCGGAGCGGUAUCAUUUGACUUAACCUCCAAAGGACCUCCGGCGUCUCCGCGGCAUCCUCCGGAGGUCAAGAGAAGGUUGCGUUCUUCGUGCGCAUAAUUGAACCCACGCGCAUGCAGGUGGUUUGUUAAGUCAGAUGUGAAAGCCCGGGGCUCAACCUCGGAACUGCAUUUGAAACUGGCAGACUAGAGUACUGUAGAGGGGGGUAGAAUUUCAGGUGUAGCGGUGAAAUGCGUAGAGAUCUGAAGGAAUACCGGUGGCGAAGGCGGCCCCCUGGACAGAUACUGACACUCAGAUGCGAAAGCGUGGGGAGCAAACAGGAUUAGAUACCCUGGUAGUCCACGCUGUAAACGAUGUCUACUUGGAGGUUGUGGCCUUGAGCCGUGGCUUUCGGAGCUAACGCGUUAAGUAGACCGCCUGGGGAGUACGGUCGCAAGAUUAAAACUCAAAUGAAUUGACGGGGGCCCGCACAAGCGGUGGAGCAUGUGGUUUAAUUCGAUGCAACGCGAAGAACCUUACCUACUCUUGACAUCCAGAGAAUCUAGCGGAGACGCUGGAGUGCCUUCGGGAACUCUGAGACAGGUGCUGCAUGGCUGUCGUCAGCUCGUGUUGUGAAAUGUUGGGUUAAGUCCCGCAACGAGCGCAACC